ACGGGAGGCAGCAGUAGGGAAUAUUGGACAAUGGGGGAAACCCUGAUCCAGCGACGCCGCGUGAGUGAAGAAAUAUUUCGGUAUGUAAAGCUCUAUCAGCAGGGAAGAAAAUGACGGUACCUGACUAAGAAGCACCGGCUAAAUACGUGCCAGCAGCCGCGGUAAUACGUAUGGUGCAAGCGUUAUUCGGAUUUACUGGGUGUAAAGGGAGCGUAGACGGCAUGGCAAGUCUGAAGUGAAAUGCGGGGGCUCAACCCCUGAACUGCUUUGGAAACUGUAGAACUAGAGUGCAGGAGAGGUAAGCGGAAUUCCUAGUGUAGCGGUGAAAUGCGUAGAUAUUAGGAGGAACACCAGUGGCGAAGGCGGCUUACUGGACUGUAACUGACGUUGAGGCUCGAAGGCGUGGGGAGCAAACAGGAUUAGAUACCCUGGUA
rnacentral:rRNA from 1 species